rnacentral:lncRNA from 1 species
GCCUUUGAGACCUUCAGAAGAGGAAUGAAGAACAUCUGGUACAUGUAUUUUCUUUCUGGAUGGAAUCAGGAGUCUUCUUGAAAUUCACAGAAAUUGACCUAUAUUGAGGAUUGGUGGCAUCCUGAGAUUGCGAGACUUGAGCCCUUGGAUUUCUUUUUGCUUUUGGCAUGCACAUAUAGUUCAAGGUGAUUCCAUCUGGAACAAUGAAACGGGAGGAAAAAGGUGAAAGAUGUUUGUGGAGAACUAUGUGAAGAAAAAUUAACCCUAAAUCUGACUUUCAAAAAAACUGAAACAGUCUGAGUGCCUCAUUGGCACCUAAAGCAAGUUAUAUCAGCUGAAUUCACAGCUCUCUGCAGCUUUACAAUUCAAGCCUGUGAAGCAAGGCCAGAAGACUGAGAGGGAAACAUGUACUAUAUCCAAAUGCGAGCUUCCCAUUCUUCUUUUACCUCUUUAAAUCGUAUAUGACAGAAGCAACUAAGCCAUGCUCCAGCAAGUGUCUUAAAUACUGUUGUUUCCCUAAAAGGAUUAUUACACAGUGUGAAUUCCUAUUUCCAGAGAGUUAUGUCAUUGAUUUCAGACAAGACGAUGGCAGGAAGCAUGGAAUCUUGGUGAGUUAAAAGCCUUUUAAAGGUGAAAUGCAACGGAA